UGGGGAAUUUUGCACAAUGGGGGAAACCCUGAUGCAGCGACGCCGCGUGAUUUAGAAGGCCUUCGGGUUGUAAAAAUCUUUUCUAUGGGAAGAAAAUGACAGUACCAUAGGAAUAAGGACUGGCUAAUUACGUGCCAGCAGCCGCGGUAAUACGUAAGGUCCGAGCGUUGUCCGGAAUCAUUGGGCGUAAAGGGUACGUAGGCGGGUAAGCAAGUUAGAAGUGAAAUCCUGUAGCUCAACUACAGUAAGCUUUUAAAACUGCUCAUCUUGAGGUAUGGAAGGGAAAGUGGAAUUCCUAGUGUAGCGGUGAAAUGCGCAGAUAUUAGGAGGAAUACCAGUGGCGAAGGCGACAUUCUGGCCAUAACCUGACGCUGAGGUACGAAAGCGUGGGUAGCAAACAGG
rnacentral:rRNA from 1 species